GUUAAGUUUAGUUCCCAUGCAAAGGUGGCCAUGCAUGACAUGCAAAGGUGGUCAAGCUUCUGGAAUCGCAGCAAGCAGUGGAGCCAUGGUGUGCAGCAACUGAAGUUUGAAGCUGCCAAUCUAUUUGCUGUUUUAGUUUCAUUUUGUUUUCUUUUUGUAAUCUAGUUCAUGUUGAACUAAGUAGGUAAAUGUUUUGAUAUUGAUUGACUGAAAAGUCAGCAAUGCAAGUUGUACAAGCUAAUCUUGUAAGUUUCAAUGCAAAUUAGUGGAGUUAGGUAGUUGAUUAGGUGAUUACUUGUUUGAUUUACUAGUUGACUGAUAUAUGUAAUGGCUUAAUGCCUUGUUGAUGUGUUAAUGAAAGUUAUCAGCUCAUUUUUCAUUCAAUCUUUUCUCUCUUUUUCUGUUUUUCACUUGCUAGCAUCAUCUUUCUGUUGUUGCUUCCGAGUUUGCUUCUUCACCAAGCCUCGAGGCUUACUACUCAAGCAAGGCUAGAAACAGCUUGCUGCUGCCUCUUGCACCAACAAUUGGUAUCGAGAGCUCUUGUCUUAGUGGACCUGUUGCUUCAAAACAAAGAACUUGAUGGCUUCUUCAGGAUUUUCACCAGCAGCCCCACCAGUCUUCAAUGGAGAAGGCUUUCACAUAUGGCUGGUCAAGAUGAAGACUUACCUACAGGCCUUCGAUCUGUGGGAAGUUGUCAACACAGAUACUGAGCCAGCACCACUGAGGGCUAAUCCCACAGUAGCUCAGAUUAGGCAACAUGCUGAUGAGAGGACCAAAAGGCACAAAGCCAUGUCCUGCAUCCAGAACUGUGUGUCAGAUGUCAUCUUCACCAGAAUCAUGGCCUGUGAGACUCCAAAACAGGCCUGGGAUAAGCUCAAGGAGGAGUUUCAAGGCACUGAGAGAACAAGGCAACAGCAGCUGCUAAACUUGAGAAGGGACUUCGAGAAUUUGAAGAUGAAGGAAGAAGAAACAGUGAAGCAGUACUCAGAUAGAAUUAUGGCAGUGGUUAACAGCAUAAGGCUCCUAGGUGAGCACUUUGAUGAGGCAAGAAUUGUGGAGAAAGUCCUCUCCACUUUGCCUGAGAGAUAUGAGGCCAAGAUAUCCUCUCUAGAGGACUCAAGAGACCUUGCUAGCAUCUCUUUGACUGAGCUAAUCAACACCUUUUAUGCUCAGGAACAAAGAAGAGCUAGCAGAGCUGAAGAUCACCAAGAAGGUGCAUUUCAAGCCAAGGCCAGAGAAACCUCGAGCACUAAUGCUCAAAGAGGCAAAAGGCCCUGGAAAAACAGGCCUAAGCCUGAUGCUGCAAGGAGCAAUGACCAGCCCUGCAGAUAUUGCAAGAAGCCUGGCCAUCCAGAAGACAGAUGCUGGUUUAGGCCAGAUGCAGUAUGCCAACACUGCAAGAAGAAGGGCCAUGUUGAAAGGGUCUGCAAAAACAGAAGUAAGCCAAGGCAGAAUCAAUUUCAGCAGUCAAAGGUUGAAGCUCGAGUAGCUGAGGACAGUAGUGACCAAGAAGAACAGGUCUUUGCUGUUUCCUGUGUAGCUUCUGAGAAGAAAUGCUCUAAAAGCUGGUUGCUAGACAGUGGUUGCACUAACCACAUGUCACCAGAUGCCUCCUUGUUUAAAACCUUGGACAAAAGUUAUAAAACCAAGGUCAAGGUUGGAAAUGGUCAGUUUAUAAGGGCUGAAGGAAGAGGAGAAGUGCUGAUAUGUACUCCCACAGGCAACAAGAUCAUUCCAAAUGUGCUGUUGGUACCACAGAUUGACAGAAACCUUCUCAGCAUAGCUCAACUGCUUGAGAAAGGUUAUUCUGUUGUGUUCAAGGAUAAACAAUGCCAUAUUACUGAUCCAAGUGGAUCAAGUCUUAUGACAGUCACAAUGACUGAUAAAUGCUUUGAGGUUCACUGGGCAAAUGACUCAAACUCAGCAUACACAGCCUCUGUUGAAGACUCCAAGCUUUGGCAUCAAAGGCUUGGACAUGCCAACUUCAGAUCAAUGGCUCGAUUGGCCAAAGAGGGCUUGGCAGAGAACUUCAUCAGCUCAGUGGAGCAUGAUGAUGUGUGUGAAGUUUGCCAAAUGGGGAAACAGGCAAGACUGCCAUUUCCUACAAAUUCAACCUGGAGAGCUACUGAAAGACUGCAGCUGGUGCACUCUGAUGUAUGUGGCCCGAUGAGGACUGAAUCACUCAGCAAAAACAGGUAUUUCAUCCUCUUUAUUGAUGACCUUACAAGGUUUUGCUGGAUUUUCUUUUUAAAACACAAGUCUGAGGUAGCUCAAGUGUUUGUGAAGUUUAAAAAUGCUGUAGAAACAGAAACAGGUUGCAAGCUGAAAUCGAUAAGGACUGAUAAUGGCACUGAGUACACUUCAGCUCAGUUUCAAGCCAUUUGCAAUGAUGCUGGUAUCAAACAUCAGCUUACAAAUGUCUACACACCUCAGCAGAAUGGGGUAGCUGAAAGAAAGAAUAGAAGUCUGAUGGAUAUGGCCAGAUGUCUGCUGUUUGAGAAGAAACUGCCCAAGACCAUGUGGGCUGAGGCAGUAAACACUGCUGCUUACCUUCAGAACAGGCUUCCUACUAAAGCUCUUGCAUCCGAGACACCUUUCGAGGCUUGGUCUGGUUUCAAACCUUCCUUGGCACAUCUGAAGGUGUUUUGUUGCCUGUGUUAUGCACAAAUACCAGCAGCAAAGAGAGACAAGCUCUCUAAAAGGGCUCAACCAGGUGUUCUAGUAGGCUACAGCUCAGUCAAGAAGGGCUACAGGGUUCUGGAUCCCUUGAUAAACAAAGUCCAAGUGAGCAGAGAUGUCAUCUUUGAUGAAAAAGCCUACUGGAAUUGGGAGAAAAAUGAGCCAGAAGUAGUUUCAGAAAACCUAGUGCCUAAUCAAGCUGAACUUGAGCAGCUAGAACCUGAAAUGGAUGUUGAUGAUGUGCCUGUGAGAGGCACAAGGCCCCUUGAUGAUAUUUAUGAAAGGGCACAGGUUGCAAUAGCAGAACCUAGCAGUUUUGAAGAGGCUGAGGCAGAUGAAGGCUGGAAACUAGCUAUGGUCAAUGAAAUCAACAUGAUUGAAAAGAACCAGACAUGGGAACUUGUUGAUAAACCUGCUGGAAAAAAGACCAUUGGAGUAAAAUGGGUCUAUCGAGUAAAACAGAAUGCAGAUGGCAGUCUGAACAAGCUAAAAGCCAGGCUUGUUGUCAAAGGAUUUAGCCAAAGGUAUGGUCUGGACUAUCUGGAGACAUUUGCACCAGUAGCCAGGCUUGACACAGUUAGAAUGAUAGUUGCCUUGGCUACUCAACAUCAGUGGACCAUUCAUCAACUUGAUGUUAAGUCUGCAUUUCUUAAUGGCUUCCUGGAAGAAGAGAUCUACAUCGAGCAGCCUCAAGGAUUUGUGAUCACUGGCAAAGAACACAUGGUGUACAGACUGAAAAAGGCUUUAUAUGGCCUGAAACAGGCUCCUCGAGCCUGGUAUGCUCGAAUUGACUCUUACUUGCUCAGUUUGGAAUUUGAGAGAAGUCCCAGUGAACCAACACUGUAUGUGAAGAAGAACCAAGCUCAAACUCAGCUUAUUCUGUCACUCUAUGUUGAUGAUCUACUGAUAACUGGAGGAGAUGGAAGAAUGCUGGAAGAUUUCAAAAGAAAAAUGAAGGAAAUGUUUGAAAUGUCUGAUUUAGGCAGAAUGAACUACUUCCUUGGAAUGGAAGUGAACCAAACAGAAAAGAGAAUCUUUCUUUGUCAAAGUUCUUUUACUAUGAAGAUCCUGGAUAAGUUCUCUAUGAAGAACUGCAAGCCAACAAGCACACCAAUGGCUGUUGGAAUGAAGCUUUCAAGGCAAGGAAGUGGUGAACCAAUUUGUGAGACCAUGUACAAGAGUCUCAUUGGUAGUCUGUUGUAUUUGACUGCCACAAGGCCCGAUAUCAUGUUUGCUGUCAGUAUGCUAUCAAGAUACAUGAAUUGCUGCAAUGAUCAGCACUUUCGAGCAGCUAAAAGAGUGCUGAGAUACAUCAAAGGCACCAUUGGUCAUGGUGUAUUGUUCAAAAGGGCUGAAAGCAUGAAGCUAAUAGGCUAUGUUGAUAGUGACUGGGCUGGAUCAAGUGAUGACAUGAGAAGCACAUCCGGUUAUGCAUUCAGUCUUGGCUCAGGCAUGUUUUGCUGGAGUUCUAAGAAACAAAGUCUGGUGGCACAAUCAACAGCAGAAGCUGAAUAUGUUGCUGCUGCAUCUGCUGUGAACCAAGCCAUAUGGCUUAGAAAAAUCUUGACUGAUUUAAACCAAAACCAAAAGGAGGCAACAGAGAUUUAUUGUGACAACAAAUCUGCUGUUGCAAUUGCAAAAAAUCCCAUUUUUCAUGGCAGAACCAAGCACUUCAAUAUUAAGUUGCAUGUUAUAAGGGAGAUGGAACAAGCUCAUGAAAUCGAGCUGAUUCAUUGCAACUCAGAAGAGCAAAUUGCUGAUAUCUUUACAAAGGCACUCAAUGUGUCUAAAUUUGUUAAAUUCAAAAGGGAAUUAGGUGUUACUAGCAUGGAAACUAAGGAGGAGUGUUAAGUUUAGUUCCCAUGCAAAGGUGGCCAUGCAUGACAUGCAAAGGUGGUCAAGCUUCUGGAAUCGCAGCAAGCAGUGGAGCCAUGGUGUGCAGCAACUGAAGUUUGAAGCUGCCAAUCUAUUUGCUGUUUUAGUUUCAUUUUGUUUUCUUUUUGUAAUCUAGUUCAUGUUGAACUAAGUAGGUAAAUGUUUUGAUAUUGAUUGACUGAAAAGUCAGCAAUGCAAGUUGUACAAGCUAAUCUUGUAAGUUUCAAUGCAAAUUAGUGGAGUUAGGUAGUUGAUUAGGUGAUUACUUGUUUGAUUUACUAGUUGAAUGAUAUAUGUAAUGGCUUAAUGCCUUGUUGAUGUGUUAAUGAAAGUUAUCAGCUCAUUUUUCAUUCAAUCUUUUCUCUCUUUUUCUGUUUUUCACUUGCUAGCAUCAUCUUUCUGUUGUUGCUUCCGAGUUUGCUUCUUCACCAAGCCUCGAGGCUUACUACUCAAGCAAGGCUAGAAACAGCUUGCUGCUGCCUCUUGCACCAACA
rnacentral:lncRNA from 1 species